rnacentral:lncRNA from 11 species
ACAAAUCUUUUUUAAAAAUAUAUUAAAGUUAAUUUUAAGUUAAUUAAAAAUUUCUUUGAUCGAAACGAAAUGAAUUUUCAUUCAACUCGAUUCGUGUUUAAUUAUGUUGAUCAGUCAAAACGUGUAUAUUAUAAAUUCCAUAAAUUUUAAAUAUAAACGAAUCAUCUUGUACUUGUAACAUUUAUAAAAUAUGCAAAAAAAUAAAAAAUAUAUUAUGCGUGUAAUAUGAAAAGUAUGCAAUUUGCAUGAAAAUCUAAUCAUUAAGAAAAAAUAGUAGAAAUUUAUUAGAAAUGCGAUCUCUGAGUGGGAGUCCUUAUUUAUAUGAUUUAUUCAUACAAAAUUCUCUAAUUAUUCCGAAGAAUAUGGGGCAAAGAGCAAAAAAAACGAACGAUUCAUCUCGCAAUGAAGCGAACUGAAAAAAACGUUGAAAGGACACUUGGAUAGAGAAGUGACACAUUGAGUCAGCGUUGCACAGCAUAACCUAUAAGUUCGAUCGUUUCUUGAACACGUUCGACCACACGUGAGAGCCCUCCAAUCGAAAACUUUCCUCCUCUUCUAUAUCGAGGUGUAAGAGUCUUGGAGGGAGAAAAAACUGAUUCGACAGAAAACUACCGAAUAAAACUGAUCGCCGCAAUAGCAAUUCAAAAGAUUAAAGAGAGAAAUUGUGUGGACACUUUGUCGGAUUUUUUUUCUCACACGCUUUUUAUAAACAGAAUUUCGAAAGUAUACUCGGCCGGAAUACACAAUGGACGUGAUCCGCAUAAGGAACUCGCAAACGUACGUAGGCGAAGGAAAAAUUGAGCGACGCGAGGGAAAAACUCACGCGGCGAAGGAAGAAAGGUCGAGAGAAGGAGGAUCAUCGAUGAAACAAGGAAUCUCGAAUGCGAAGAAAUUCGGAAAGAUUUAUCGGAAAAUUAGAGAGAAAAAGAGAAGAAAAGAAAA